rnacentral:rRNA from 1 species
AUUGAACGCUGGCGGCGUGCUUAACACAUGCAAGUCGUGCGGUAACAGGCGUAGCAAUACGUGCUGACGAGCGGCGAACGGGUGCGUAAUACAUGGGAAUCUGCCCUUUAGUGGGGAAUAACCCGGCGAAAGCCGGGCUAAUGCCGCAUAAGAUCUUCGGAUGAAAGCGGGGGAUCGUAAGACCUCGCGCUGAUGGAUGAGCCCAUGCCGGAUUAGCAGUUGGUGAGGUAAAGGCUCACCAAGGCGACGAUCCGUAGCUGGUCUGAGAGGACGGCCAGCCACACUGGGACUGAGACACGGCCCAGACUCCUACGGGAGGCAGCAGUGGGGAAUAUUGGACAAUGGGGAAACCCUGAUCCAGCGACGCCGCGUGUGUGAAGAAGGCCUGCGGGUUGUAAAGCACUUUCGGUGGGAACGAAAUA